rnacentral:rRNA from 1 species
UAGGGAAUAUUGGGCAAUGGGUGAGAGCCUGACCCAGCCAUGCCGCGUGCCGGAAGUCGGCCCUACGGGUUGUAAACGGCUUUUAUAUAGGAACAACAGCCAGGAUGCGUCCUUGGUUUGAGGGUACUAUAAGAAUAAGCACCGGCUUACUCCGUGCCAGCAGCCGCGGUAAUACGGAGGGUGCAAGCGUUGUCCGGAUUUAAUGGGUUUAAAGGGUACGUAGGCGGGCUGUUAAGUCUGAGGUGUAAGCUGCUGGCUCAACCAGGAAAUUGCCUUGGAUACUGGCAGUCUUGAGUACAGUAGAGGUGGGCGGAAUUCAGGGUGUAGCGGUGAAAUGCAUAGAUACCCUGAGGAACACCGAUAGGGAAGCCAGCUCACUGGACUGUUACUGACGCUGAGGUACGAAAGCGUGGGGAGCGAACAGGAUUAGAUACCCCCGUAGUCC